GAUGAACGCUGGCGGCGUGCCUAAUACAUGCGAGUCGAGCGAACAGACGAGGAGCUUGCUCCUCUGACGUUAGUGGCGGACGGGUGAGUAACACGUGGAUAACCUACCUAUAAGACUGGGAUAACUUCGGGAAACCGGAGCUAAUACCGGAUAAUAUAUUGAACCGCAUGGUUCAAUAGUGAAAGACGGUUUUGCUGUCACUUAUAGAUGGAUCCGCGCCGCAUUAGCUAGUUGGUAAGGUAACGGCUUACCAAGGCAACGAUGCGUAGCCGACCUGAGAGGGUGAUCGGCCACACUGGAACUGAGACACGGUCCAGACUCCUACGGGAGGCAGCAGUAGGGAAUCUUCCGCAAUGGGCGAAAGCCUGACGGAGCAACGCCGCGUGAGUGAUGAAGGUCUUCGGAUCGUAAAACUCUGUUAUUAGGGAAGAACAAAUGUGUAAGUAACUAUGCACGUCUUGACGGUACCUAAUCAGAAAGCCACGGCUAACUACGUG
rnacentral:rRNA from 1 species